ensembl:lncRNA
AUUUAAUAAGAAAAUAUCACAUCUUACAUUAUUCACAUUGAUAUAGUUGGUUUAUGCUGUCAUGUGUUUGCCCACUGUAUAACAUUAUCUGAUGAAUUAUCUUCAACUGUGUAGUAAUACAUACCAUUUUAUAAAUAUUUUACAUAUGUAAACAUAUAGUGCAACUAUUUAUAAUUCAAAAAAGGGAAAUAUAAUGGAAGGAUGUUGGUGAUCUCUUAGAUACUGUAGCCCUGAAAUUAAUUGAAUUUAUGCCAUGUUCUCACAUACUUUAAAAGACCAUGCUUUAAUAUUAAAAUGGCAUUCCCUGGCCAGUUGUGUUGCCCAUUUCCUGGCUCUGCAUGAUACGCAGGAGGAGUGACAAUGGGAAGAAAACGGCCUUUUGAAGGACUUACCUAACAUCUGUCUCUCUUAUCAUUACUUGGAAUGACAUCAGAAGAUCAAGAGGAAAUACUCGUGUAGAGAAGGGAAAUUCUCUGCUUUCCCUCAUCCCUAACCCUUAAUAUCCAACGGAGGAGCAAAAACUCUUCUCAUUCUUCACAAACCAGGACAGACAUUGAGCUUCUUUUCCUAAUGGUUGAGCUUCCUUUUCCAGUGGUUGAGGACACCAUCUAUUAGAAUAUCAUGCAAAAGGGUGUGGCUACUCCUUUCCCUUUUCUGCCUGAGCAUCAAAACUGUCAACCUGGCUGGUGUCAAGGGGAGCUUCCAACCCUGCAUCCCCACUCCAUCUGCCUUCUUGCCCUCUCCUUUCCUAGGACUUGCAUCAUAAGAUUCAUUUAAGAAAAUUUGUUUUGUGCUUAGAAGCAAAAGCCUCUAAGACCCUAACCUGAGCCUUAUGCUCUGGUCCAGUUUACUGGAAUUCUCUCUAGUGUUGUACAAGCCCUACCUAUAACAAAUUAUGAUUAUAUACACUUUUCUUUGUGUACAUAUCUCCCUCAGGAAGCUCCACAUCCACCAAGGAACCUAGGUUAUCGGCAGAAUGAGAUUUCAGAAUUCUUUGCUCCUCUGGCCAAACACCACCAGUUAGUGCUCUAAUCUACCAUUUUUGAAGUUACACUCACCAUAUUUUAAAUACUGUUUAUUUUGAAGAGUUGAGUUUGGUGGCCAUGCAGAUUGUUACUUUACUGCUAUUUCUGCAUUUUUCAAAUUUUAACCAACAUGUAGCUUUCUCAUCAAAAAGUAUGGAGGUCAGAAGACAGUGGAACAACAAUUUUUACUGUAAAACAAACUGGCCAAACUUUGGCAAGAGUUAAAAGCCUAGCAUGCAGUAGUGGCUUCUGUACUAGAAAUAUAGAGUUCUUCACUUUCUGGGAAAAGCUGUUUGUUUUUUAUUUUUUCCUUUCAGCUGCCAGAGAGAUUGAGCAUUUGCAGAGGGAUUUAUCCACAUAGUUCCAAGAAACUUUAUUUGGCAAGCAAGCUACUGAAUUUGCUGUGGUUUAUCAGUCACUCCUGCUAGCAGAGGUCUGAUAACACUGCAGUCAGAGCUGUUGAGAUGAAAAUCUUUGACUUGCCACCCAACAGGAUCUUACUUAUACAGUGAAAGAUGGGACAUAGAAGGAACACAGACCAAGGAGUUUAACACUUGCACUUGACGAGUUACAACAGCAGCCAGGGGACCAUUUUAUCUCCUUGACUGGGAGCUCAGGGUGUGCAGAGGUGGAACCAGCCUGUGAAGUCAAUUGGAACAGUGGGAAGGCCUCUCAUUACCUGGGCCAGGAUGAGGGGAAGAGAGGGAUCAGGGGGGCAUGGAGGGAGCAGCCCCACAACAGUAAGCACAGCUCUUCAAUUGCUUUCAGUUUUAAGAGGCCACCUACUCAGUUUCAACAAAGUUUUAGCAACAACUAAAACACCAUUUACGUGGCUGUUUUCGAUCCUUCCUUGUCACUACUCAGCCUCCAAAUGUUCAUUAACUUGUGGGACAGUUGGAGGACCCUUACUCCCCCCCACACACAUAGCCACCACUUAGGCAAGAAGACCUUGGAGAGCCUUCUCGUACUCCCUAACGUAGCCCACACAGUCCCUUCUGUAUUUUCUCCAAGAGGGUAUUGUGACCUUACUGGCCCCACGUUGGACACCAAACCUGUCAAGCAGUCUAGCAGUCCCUAGGCAAUAGUAUAGUGGCAGCUGCUAGGUGCGCUUGUCACAUUUCUGUAGACUUGACCAAUAAGGAGACAAUCUCAAAUGAAUUGAGGUGGUUUAUUGCUUACACACACAGCAUAAACAGGUGUAGCACAUUGUCAGCUCCACACAUCCAUAAUCCCACGGCCUGACACCACACUGGAGGGAUCAGAAGACAAGAAGAUACAAGUGGUGGCUUGCUCUGUUGUGAAGGAGCUAAUUUCAUAUUGCAGCUAAGCAGUUUUAUAGUUUGUAGUUGCACCCUGGGGGUGGGGGUGGAGGGAAGGUAGAAAUUUCCCUGUCUCCCCGGAACCAGGGAGGCAGGUGACAAACUGCCUAGUGGCAGCCUGCUCUAAGACAGGGAACCUCCCACAAGACAUCAGUGAGAAAUAGCCUUCUGAUAGCGCCUCACAAGAUUGUCUAUCUUUCCGUGUUCCAGAAGGGCAUUCGGCCAAGACUUGGGUCAGACUACAGUUGAGCCUGGCCUAUGUGGCCUACAUGGAGAAGUAUAAUGUCAUCAGAGUGUCAUAGCGGAGCCAUUCCCCUGUACCUUGACCCUUGAAAAGGAGCUUGGCUGGAUAUAUCUUCAAUUGGCACUUUCUUGAUAUAAAUUUCUUGAAACUGCUCCUCCCUUGUUGCCUUGCUUUGUAUGUUAAUGCUCAUCUAAUUCUAUUGCUUUUGUAACUUAUUUGAUAGUUUUGCCUGGAGAAACUGAGGAUAUUUUCUUUAUCUGUAAAGUCCAAUAAUUUUACUAUGAUAUUUUCUUGAAGUUGGUCAUCUGGGGUCAAUUCUCCCUGAUAGCUGAUGAGCCCUUUCAGUGUGCCUCAUCCCUUAAGUAACCUAUUGUUUUCCUUUUUA